rnacentral:rRNA from 1 species
CCUACGGGAGGCAGCAGUGGGGAAUUUUGGACAAUGGGCGCAAGCCUGAUCCAGCCAUGCCGCGUGAGUGAAGAAGGCCUUCGGGUUGUAAAGCUCUUUCGGCCGGGAAGAAAUCGCACAGGUUAAUACCCUGUGUGGAUGACGGUACCGGAAUAAGGAGCACCGGCUAACUACGUGCCAGCAGCCGCGGUAAU